rnacentral:rRNA from 1 species
UACGGAGGGUGCUAGCGUUGUUCGGAAUUACUGGGCGUAAAGCGCGUGUAGGCGGCUAGGCAAGUCGGAUGUGAAAGCCCCGGGCUCAACCCUGGAACGGCAUCCGAAACUAUCUGGCUAGAGUCCUGGAGAGGAAGGCAGAAUUCCCGGUGUAGGGGUGAAAUGCGUAGAUAUCGGGAGGAACACCAGUGGCGAAGGCGGCUUCCUGGCCUGUUCUUGACGCUGAGGCGCGAAAGCUAGGGGAGCAAACAGG